rnacentral:rRNA from 1 species
GACGAACGCUGGCGGCGUGCUUAACACAUGCAAGUCGAACGGAAAGGCCCUGCUUUUGUGGGGUGCUCGAGUGGCGAACGGGUGAGUAACACGUGAGUAACCUGCCCUUGACUUUGGGAUAACUUCAGGAAACUGGGGCUAAUACCGGAUAGGAGCUCCUGCUGCAUGGUGGGGGGUGGAAAGUUUCGGCGGUUGGGGAUGGACUCGCGGUUUAUCAGCUUGUUGGUGGGGUAGUGGCUUACCAAGGCUUUGACGGGUAGCCGGCCUGAGAGGGUGACCGGCCACAUUGGGACUGAGAUACGGCCCAGACUCCUACGGGAGGCAGCAGUGGGGAAUAUUGCACAAUGGGCGGAAGCCUGAUGCAGCAACGCCGCGUGCGGGAUGACGGCCUUCGGGUUGUAAGCCGCUUUCGCCUGUGACGAAGCGUGAGUGACGGUAAUGGGUAAAGAAGCACCGGCUAACUACGUG